UAUUGAGAAGUAAUUUUUACAUUUAGUUUCGACCUAAAAAUUUGACUGAUAUCAGUCCUCAAUUU
rnacentral:tRNA from 1 species